rnacentral:rRNA from 1 species
GACAGAGGGUGCAACCGUUGUUCGGAAUUACUGGGCGUAAAGCGUGUGUAGGCGGCCACGUAAGUCGGAUGUGAAAGCCCCAGGCUCAACCUGGGAAGUGCACUCGAUACUGCGUGGCUUGAGUAUCGGAGAGGUUGGUGGAAUUCUCGGUGUAGAGGUGAAAUUCGUAGAUAUCGAGAGGAACACCGGUGGCGAAGGCGGCCAACUGGACGAAUACUGACGCUGAGACACGAAAGCGUGGGGAGCAAACAGG